AUGAACUAAUCAUGUAUAACUCAUGGAGACAGUUUUCUAAAGUUCUCAAUGUAAUUAAAUGUAAAGGGAAACAGUAGAAUCUUUAUUCCCUCAAGAAUUGUCAACAUGUGUCUAGCAACAGGACAAAAUAAAGACAUGCCAACAGCGACAUAACAUAACAGCAACAACAUUUUUAAAACCAUAUCAUUUCCCCAAAUAGACAUUUACACAUAUGUGAAUAUGUCAGUUUUGAUCAUUGCAGAAUGCUAAGGAGAACUGACACAUGUAGGGAGGCAGGAGUGGAAGAAUAUUCAGUGCUUCAUAAAAAGCAAUUGUACACGUUCGCAAAUUUCCAUUAACCUAGAUCACCAGAGAGAGAUGUCAAGAGAAACAUUACCAAGCUGGAAACCACAGAGAACUCUUAUCUAUUAGUAACAAAUUAAUUACAUUUGCUCAAUUAAAUGAAGUAUGAUUACAGGUAAGCCUAAAAUAAGAAUUUUCAAGUCACAUUAUGGAAAAUUUUUAUAGGUGAAAAAUGUAAAAUGGUUAGAUGUCAUCGUUUGACAGGAAUUAUUUAACACCCUGUACUCUUCUAGAAUAAGGCAUUUUUUCUACUUCAAAUGUUGUAUAAUCUAGGUCAUAGAGUAUGGUCCUAAAUCUGAAUUCCAGAGAAUCAAAAAAGGGAAAGCUCAUACUUAAAUGUUGUUAAGAGAGAUUUCCUAACAGAGGAUUUGGACUUACCUUGUGCCACGAAAGAUAUAUAGGAUUUAAAUUAAUGCAAAAGAAGAUAGGCAGUAGAAAUGCCAGGAAAAGUACUUGGGAAUUAACAAGUUGACCACAUCCAUUUUCCUAUCCUUUCAUUAUCCAUGAGACAUCCAUUUACUACCUUUGGUACGCUGCAUGUCCGUAAGUGAUGUUAUGGUUGAUUCAGCUGCUGAACGCAGCCAUCAAGGAUCCAGGUUCACAGCUUUCUGCUCCACCAUCCACGGGGUAUGCUUACUUCAAUAUCUUUUUAGUUUAAAAAUAGGAAAAUCAGCAGGAUUUUCUCUCAUUUGUGGUGAAUCUUACAUUUUUCAUAUUUUUUAGUGUUUACAUUUUUAUAUAAUUUUUCAUUGUUGCCCACCUUUUCUUUGAAACUCUUCCUUUGUUUUUCAUGACGUUAGAACAUACAGAAGAAUCACCUGUGUGAGCUUAGCAAUGCAGAUUCCUGGGGCCACACUGGCAGAGCUUCUGGUCGAGUCUGUGUGGAGUGGAGCCAGCAGAUCCACAUUUUUGACAGUCCCUUUAGGUGGUUCUGAUGCACCUCACUGGCUCUCGUUCCCCCCCUGUCAUAAUAUUCUUUUGUUGGUUUCUUCACUAGUUCUUCUUUCUCUUUCCUUGGCUAUUUACAAUACAAAGUAUUUACACUUGAGCAUUUCUUUUUAUCUUAACUUCUAGAAAGUUCACCCAUUUUUACGCCUUCAGUCUCUUGAGGAUAAGGAUGAUCUUAUUCAUUUUUCAUCAACCAUUUGUUGAUCCUAACAAAUGGCCUCUCGGCUUACUAAGGUAGGAAAACGAAGAAGAUGCCUAUUUAGAAGACAUUAACAUCAAAGUGAUAGUUCAUCUAUUCAUUUAUACGUAGAAACUUUUAUUAAACACUUAUACAUGCCAGGCCUAAAAGGGCUUGGCCCAUAAUAGGCGCUUAAAGUAAAAUUACUUUGAAAUGAAUGAAUGAAUAAAUGAACUAUCUCCUCUCUGAUGAUGAAUUCUAAAUUUAUAUCCCCUGCCUUUUUCUUUUAUUCUGGUGACCUGAGGGAACUUUUUUCAGGGUCAUUUUUUUCCUUCCAUAUAGAAAUAUUGAAAAGAAGCCAAUUUACCAGCCAUCCAAAACCAAAUAACUGAGAGCCAAUUUUUUGAGGGAGAGGUCAAGGGAAAAAGCUGAAAAUGCUGGGGAGUGGGCGCAGAGUUGGGAGAAGGGAGGAUCUGAAACAAACGGAAGGGAUUCGCCUUCGAAAGAAAAAGGACUAUCUCUUUUUCUGAUGUAGAGGCAAAAGGCAAAAAAAA
ensembl:lncRNA